rnacentral:rRNA from 1 species
UACGGAGGGUGCAAGCGUUAUCCGGAUUUACUGGGUUUAAAGGGUGCGUAGGUGGGUCUGUAAGUCCGUGGUGAAAUCUCCGAGCUUAACUUGGAAACUGCCAUGGAUACUAUAGGUCUUGAAUACUGUGGAGGUCAGCGGAAUAUGUCAUGUAGCGGUGAAAUGCUUAGAUAUGACAUAGAACACCAAUUGCGAAGGCAGCUGGCUACACAAAUAUUGACACUGAUGCACGAAAGCGUGGGGAUCAAACAGG